rnacentral:SRP_RNA from 15 species
GCCGGGCGCGGUGGCGCGCGCCUGUAGUCCCAGCUACUCGGGAGGCUGAGGCAGAGGGAUCGCUUGAGCCCAGGAGUUCUGGGCUGCAGUGCGCUAUGCCGAUCGGGUGUCCGCACUAAGUUCGGCAUCAAUAUGGUGACCUCCCGGGAGCGGGGGACCACCAGGUUGCCUAAGGAGGGGUGAACCGGCCCAGGUCGGAAACGGAGCAGGUCAAAACUCCCGUGCUGAUCAGUAGUGGGAUCGCGCCUGUGAAUAGCCACUGUACUCCAGCCUGGGCAACAUAGCGAGACCCCGUCUCUUU